rnacentral:rRNA from 1 species
GACGAACGCUGGCGGCGUGCCUAAUACAUGCAAGUAGAACGCACAGUUUAUACCGUAGCUUGCUACACCAUAGACUGUGAGUUGCGAACGGGUGAGUAACGCGUAGGUAACCUGCCUGGUAGCGGGGGAUAACUAGUGGAAACGAUAGCUAAUACCGCAUAAUAUUAAUUAUUGCAUGAUAAUUAAUUGAAAGGUGCAAUUGCACCACUACCAGAUGGACCUGCGUUGUAUUAGCUAGUAGGUGAGGUAACGGCUCACCUAGGCGACGAUACAUAGCCGACCUGAGAGGGUGAUCGGCCACACUGGGACUGAGACACGGCCCAGACUCCUACGGGAGGCAGCAGUAGGGAAUCUUCGGCAAUGGACGAAAGUCUGACCGAGCAACGCCGCGUGAGUGAAGAAGGUUUUCGGAUCGUAAAGCUCUGUUGUAAGAGAAGAACGGGUGUGAGAGUGGAAAGUUCACACUGUGACGGUAUCUUACCAGAAAGGGACGGCUAACUACGUG